UCUAAUUGUUGCAAUUUCCCUUACUCUGCCUAAAAUCCUAUACAAUCUUUUCUCUCUUCUUUCUCAUCUUUCCUUUCCGUUGAGAUAAAAGAGGUUUGGAUCAAAACCUUAAGAUUACCCUCUUUUUAUCUAAUAAUCUUCCCCCAAAACUCUGAGUGAAUCUCGAAAUGGGUGUUUGGUGGACUUGUAACAAAUCAUGUUCACAAGGUCCAUCAUGCAUGCCAGACUUGAGUUUGCAAAUUAACUGGUGUGUGUGAAAAAGAGGUUGAGGUUGAUGGGAAUGUUGUUUGGCUCGAGGUUCAUAUAUCAAACUAUAUAUCAACUUUUUUGGAUAAAGAAAAAGGGUUGUUGUUUGAUUGUUAAAUAUAUAAUCUCGGACCAGGCUUCAUUCCCGUCAACCAAACACUUCUUCAGAAGAGUCUUCAUCUGAUCUGGGUUGAAUAUUCUGUAAGAGAAAGUUUGGCCUGAACUUCAUGCUUGGAAGUCUGUUUUGAAGAUUAUCAGUCGGGUUGAUGCAUUCAUGUAUAUAAGGGACCAGAUGAAGAACUUGCAUUUCCUCGUUAUACUGGAAGAACUUAUAAAUACUUAUGAGAUGCCGAUUCUCUUUUGGUUUAUGGAGCAAAGUUCACUGUUCUGAUAUUAAUUCUUUCAACUCAAUAGGUUUAAUUCAUAUUGUAAACAUUAAAAUUUAAAUGGCUACACAUAUAUUUUUGGUUCUCUCUUUCA